CCAGCAAGUCAUUACAUUUCUUUGUACCUCAGUUUCUUCAUCUGUAAAACAGGGCUAAUAAUAUUAACUACUUCACAGAGUUCUUGUGAGAAUUUUUUUGAGACAGGGUCUUGCUCUGACACCCAGGCUGCAGUGCAGUGGCAUGAUCAUAGCUCACUGCAACCUCAAACUCCUGGGCUCAAGUGAUCCUCCUGCUGGCCUCAGCCUUCCGAAUAGCUGGAACUACAGGUGUGGUGCACACCACACCCAUGAAAGGUCAGUGAAUUAGCAGGAGAUUUCUUAGCAGAUUGUUCCAAAAAAAGUAAGAAACUACUAUGAUUUAAUAUAAAGAAAAUUAAACUAGGAAUCCUAACAAUGACUUGGGUUUCCAUCUGAAUCUACCACUAGCUGCUUAUGUAACCUUGGCCUAGCUAAUCUAGGCCUCUAAGUCCCCAGCUAUAAAACAGAAAUACCUUGUCUUUACAUAACUCAAAGCACUGUUGUCUGGAUAACAAAGGUGAAAAACCUUUCCAUAAAACUUUUUACAAAUGUAAAAAGAAAUCCAUGGGCAAAGUAUUAAAUC
rnacentral:lncRNA from 1 species